AACGUAGGAGGCAAGCGUUAUCCGGAUUCACUGGGCGUAAAGCGCGUGCAGGCGGUUCGGUAAGUUGGGCGUGAAAUCUCCUGGCUCAACUGGGAGAGGUCGUCCAAUACUACCGGACUAGAGAGCAGUAGAGGAAGAUGGAAUUCCCGGUGUAGUGGUGAAAUGCGUAGAUAUCGGGAGGAACACCAGUGGCGAAGGCGGUCUUCUGGACUGUUUCUGACGCUCAGACGCGAAAGCUAGGGGAGCAAACGGG
rnacentral:rRNA from 1 species